UACGUAGGGUGCGAGCGUUAAUCGGAAUUACUGGGCGUAAAGCGUGCGCAGGCGGCGCGUUAAGACAGGUGUGAAAGCCCCGAGCUUAACUUGGGAAUUGCGCUUGUGACUGGCGGGCUUGAGUGUGGCAGAGGGGGGUGGAAUUCCGCGUGUAGCAGUGAAAUGCGCAGAUAUCAGGAGGAACACCAAUUGCGAAGGCAGCUCGCUGGGACGUAACUGACGCUGAGACGCGAAAGCGUGGGGAGCAAACAGG
rnacentral:rRNA from 1 species